rnacentral:rRNA from 1 species
AGUGAACGCUGGCGGUAGGCCUAACACAUGCAAGUCGAACGGCAGCACAGUAAGAGCUUGCUCUUACGGGUGGCGAGUGGCGGACGGGUGAGGAAUACAUCGGAAUCUACUUUUUCGUGGGGGAUAACGUAGGGAAACUUACGCUAAUACCACAUACGACCUACGGGUGAAAGCAGGGGAUCUUCGGACCUUGCGCGAUUGAAUGAGCCGAUGUCGGAUUAGCUAGUUGGCGGGGUAAAGGCCCACCAAGGCGACGAUCCGUAGCUGGUCUGAGAGGAUGACCAGCCACACUGGAACUGAGGCACCGUCCAGACUCCUACGGGAGGCAGCAGUGGGGAGUUUUGGACAAUGGGCGCAAGCCUGAUCCAGCCAUACCGCGUGAGUGAAGAAGGCCUUUGGGUUGUAAAACUCUUUUGUUGGGAAAGAAAAGCAGCAGGUUAAUACCCCGCUGUUCUGACGGUACCGAAAGAAUAAGCACCGGCUAACUUCGUG